rnacentral:rRNA from 1 species
AUGCGCUGCAGGACCUCAGCCUCCAGACCAACGCGCUCUCCGGCCCGCUCCCCUCCUUCCGCGGCAUGGCGGCCCUCCGCCACGCCUACCUCAAUGACAACGCCUUCUCCUCCCUCCCCAAGGACUUCUUCGACGGCCUCGACAGCCUCGAGGAGAUCUGCCUCGACAACAACCCGCUCCUGCCAAUCCAUCUCUACUGUUCUUCUUCUACCACUGCCUCGACCCCUCCUCCCCUUGUAUUCUUCUUCUACCUCUGUUGUUCUUCCUUUCCACAUCACAUCUCUAGUGGUCGUGUGCAGGCACUGUCCAUCCAUCUCAUCUCCUUGCAUGGUGAAGGUGACUAGGCCAUGGAGAGAAAAGCUCCUGCCAAUCAUGGUUCACUUUAGUGACGACGGCAACAUAUCAGGUCACCUAUGUAUGCGAGAGGCUCCUGGAACACGUGUGCUGUACCUCGGAGCUGCCUUUGGAACAACCGUGUCUCAUGUGUCUGACAUUGUUGGACCGACAGGGUUGGUGUAUGCCGUUGAGUUCUCUCACCGGAGUAGUAGGGACCUUGUCAACAUGGCCAAGAAGAGGACCAAUGUCAUCCCCAUCACUGAGGAUGCUAGGCACCCGAAAAAGUAA